rnacentral:misc_RNA from 1 species
CAAUAAAGGACCCAGACAAGGUAGCGAAUGCCCAUUCCCAUUCCCUAAUUUGUUAAAAUAUUGCUAUUUUCAGUGAGGAUUCAGCUGAAAUUGAUUGAUAAAUACAUCAAAAUUAUGAAUGGAUUACUCUCCACCCUUUCCCUUUUCAACAAUUGACAUUUAAGGUUGGCUUUUAUUGUUCCUAAAAUUUUUUCCAAUUCCAUCCUGAAGGAAGAG